GCAGGCCCCUACUAUGUACAAGCAGCUCCCAACAUCCCCCAGACGCAAGCCCCAGAAGUUGUACAAGCAGCUCCCAACUACCCCCCAGAUGCAGAUCCCUACAUUGUACAAGCAGCUCUCAACACCCCCAGAUGCAAGCAGCUCCAAACUCCCCCCC